rnacentral:rRNA from 1 species
CCUACGGGUGGCAGCAGUGAGGAAUCUUGGUCAAUGGACGCAAGUCUGAACCAGCAAUGCCGCGUGCAGGAAGACGGUCCUCUGAGUUGUAAACUGCUUUUGUACGGGGGAAAACGCAGAUACGCGUAUCUGUCUGAAACUAUCGUAAGAAUAAGGAUCGGCUAACUCCGUGACAGCAGCCGCGGUAAUACGGAGGAUUCAAGCGUUAUCCGGAUUUCUUGGGUUUAAAGGGUGCGUAGGAGGUCGGAUAAGUUAGAGGUGAAAGCCCGAGGCUCAACUUCGGAAUUGCCUCUGAUACUGUUCGGCUAGAGAGUAGUAGCGGUAGGCGGAAUGCAUGGUGUAGCGGUGAAAUGCAUAGAUAUCAGGCAGAACACCGAUUGCGAAGGCAGCAUGCCGGAUUCACACUGACGCUGAGGCACGAAAGCGUGGGUAUCGAACAGGAUUAGAUACCCGAGUAGUC